rnacentral:misc_RNA from 1 species
AUAUAUAUAUAUAUAUAUAUACAUGCACACAGACAGACAUACAUACAUCUGAGGCUGUGAUGAUGCGUUCUUUUCCAGGAGUGUCCGAUCGGGCAAAUAGUGAAGGUCGCCGUCUUAUGGCAGGGUGACUCGGAUGGCUAACGAAAAGAUACUUUUCGCUGGCAACCGGUGGUUGCAGCCAUGGCGGUACUGUUAGCCCUUUCCCUUGCCUGAUCAAAUGCAGAUCAGAUCUGAGCCUCCGUCUUUUGUGUUCUCUAUAAUUUUAGGUUUUCGUUUUUGUCGAUCAGUUGCUUUUUUUUUUUGGAAGUGAUCAGUUGCUUUUUUGUUAUGACUUGUUUGGGUGAUAAUGCUUUUCAUUUUUCUUUUAAAUAAAAGAAGAUAUAAAUGUUGUAAAUGUGUCAUCCGUUCCUUGCAGAUUUGGGAUGGGAAGCGAAAUUUAGGAAUUUGUACUGGAUAAAUUACAUAAAUUUAGAAAAAUUAUGUUGGACAAAAUAACUUGGACACAUUGAAAUUAUCUUGACAAAAAUCUCAAAAAAUAUAAAAAUUAAUGAUUAACAUUUGUGAAAAUUACUAAUUUUUAAAUAUAUUAAUUAAAAAAAUAAAAAAUUUGUGUCAAAUUAAAUUUAAAAUUAAAUGCUAUAUGUGUCCUAGUAUGUUUUGUCAUUAGAUGUUAGAAAAUAGAAAUUGUGAAAGGAAAAGGAAAGUCCUAUAACCCUCAGACUAUGUUUGGAUAGAGAGAAAAGGGGAAAGAAAAUUUGAGAGUAAAAUAAUUUAAUAUUUUAUUAUUUUGUGUUUAGAUUGGUGUUUGGAUUGGUAGAAAAUAAGUAGAAAAUAAAGUGGAAAGAAAAAUUUAGGAGGAAAAUAAAAUAUUUUUGUUAUUUUCAUUUUAAUGAGAAAAAAAU